AUGAUGCUAACAUACAAAGAGGAGAAAGACAAGGACAAGUUUUGCUCAUGUUUCAUGAAAGUCAUCCUAUGCGCCUACUUAGCUCCAACGACUGGUUACCAAAUUAAUAGAAGUUACCUGCUAGGAGCUUUGAAGGACUUGAGCGACAUACCUCGUAUGAAUUGGUGUCGUUUUGCUGCUGACUACCUUAUCGAUGCAAUUCGUGACUCAAGGGGAAACAAAGUGCACAACCUGAACGUCGGUGGAUGCGUUCAUAUUCUACAUCUCAUAUAUGUGGAUCUACUUAAAUCAGAUUUAGUAACAAUACCCGAGGGUUACCCAAGGAUUAAAUGUGUGAGCUCGGUAGUACUGGAACAAAUCGAUAAUACUGGAAAAAAGAAGACACAAGACCAUUGCAAGUUCUUUGAGAGCUUACUGGACGAUGAAAAGUUAGAAAUUUUCCCAACUGUGGAAGACCAUGAUGAUGAUAUUGAUGAUAACGCAAAAUCUACACAUUCCAUGCCACUAGUUACAGCUACUAUAAGUAAUGUACCUUGCCAAGAGAAACAUAAACUUCCGCAAAAGGUAGUACAAACUUCAAAGAAGCGCCCGUCAGAUCAAUCUAUAGAUGAGAAUUUGAUCAAACGGAUUAAGAAGCUUGAAGACCACUACACAGCCGAGCGACAAAAGUUGAUAACUUUGUCUAAACGCAAGCUUCAAAACAAUCUGCAACAGCUUGAAAUAAAGAAAACGAAGGAAAUGGCAGCCUUGGUCCAGGAAGAGAUUCAUAAGGCUAUGUUACCAAUGAAUGAUGACGCACGUGCAGGAAGUUCUCUGCAUAAUGAUGAUCCCACUUUGACCAAAGGAAGUAUAGGAACAGAAAGUCCAUGUCACUCCAAUCUAGAUGAAGUUGUUCUGCUUUCUGCCAAGUCUGCUCAGUGUGGUCACCAAACUAGCACUCAUGUUGAUGCCAUCCCACAAUUGACAGCUGGCACACCUUCAUCUCCAACGUUCAUGAAUGGAAUAGUACAAAUUGGUACUCAUGAAUCACCACCAGCAACUAAUUUGGUGAACAAAGAAAAUGUCAAACUGGACAAUUUCCAUCCCGCUUCAUCAUUUGUUGGUCAGAUUACUCAGUACGAGCCUUCUUCUUCUAAAGAAAUUAUUCCCACCGAUCAGAUUGUUCAGGCUGAACCUGCUGCUUGUAAAGAUCCAUUUGUGGAAAGACAAGAGACCAUAGAAAGACAAGAUACUUUUGUUGCCAAUGUUCUACCGGCGUCAAAUAUAUGUGCGGUUCCACAUCAGCCAGAUUUAGUCCCUGCAGUCAUCAUUCCCACAAGUCCUUUUAUCCUUCCAAACAAGGAUGGCGACCAAGUCCAUUCACAUAUUGUUCAAGCUGAGAAAAACAACAUACCGAGUGAAGAUUCAUCAAUGCUGAAGAUUGUUGGUACUGAUGUUCAAGCGGACACUGCUUCUGUUGUACCUGUUAGUACUAAUAUCACUGGGCCUGGACAGGGCAACCCAGGGGAUCAACCAGAGAGUAAUGUAUUUGUUGUUGAACAUGCAAAACAGGAUUCCACAAUAAAUGUUUUGCAUGAAGUACGUAAUACCGUUACUACACCAACAACUGUUGAUGUAAUUCCGGAUACUGACUUCAUUGCUCCAAAAUCAACAGAAUCUGCAUCUGAAAUACUUGUUGCUGAUGCACAUAAAGCUACAAAUAUGGAUAGUUUGGCACACAAUGCUGCCUCAGAUGUUAUUCAACUACAACAUACAGACAAGACGACACUUGAAGAUGAAUUUCAGAACCAAUCGAAUAAGCAAUUUGGAAAUCUUGAUGUCAGCAAAAAUGAAAUUGAAUCGAAGAAAGAUAUUAAAAUUGCUGAUAGUCAUGCCACUUUAAAAGAUGUUGCAGAUAUUUCUUCACCACCUUUAUCCAUAGAAAUAGUUGGUGAUGUAUCAAUUAUGUCAGUCAGUCAAAUGACCAGGGAAUAUGAUAGGAUGAAUGUACCAGGAGCUGCUACUAUUGAUACUACUGAACAUAUUGCUGCAUCUACGCUACACGAAGUCUCAAGACCUGAAGAUACUGACAAGCUUAUUCAGCCUCAACAUAUUGUUUUCGAAACUUCAGUUCUCCCCGACCACAAAUCCUCCAGUUUGGAUGUUUUGUAG
rnacentral:rRNA from 1 species